rnacentral:rRNA from 1 species
AGGUAAAUCUUAUGUGAUUNGAGUAGUAACAGCGGUAGGGUUUGGUAACAUGGUGAAUNUCCGAGUUCACCUGGACCGNAUCAUAGUGCGUGACUAAUGUCGUUAGAUGGNNGGGAAUUCUUAGAUCGGAAAAUNGUAGAUAUAGGAUGGNNCCCAGUGGNAGGGGUCCAUCGGUUGAUCUGCCAGUGAGGUGNNAUAAGNUGGGAGCAAGCAGAAUUAGUUCCCUUGGUAGUCCGCGCUGUAUCCGAUGUCGAUUAACUUUUGGGAUCCUCAAGAUAUUAGUGCCGCAUCUACCGUGAUAAGUUGACCCCGUGGGGAGUGCGGCUCCAAGGUUAAACCUGAAAAGAUUACAUGGGUCCCCGCACAACCGGUGGACCAGGUGUUUUAAUUAGAAGUAACGAGAAGACCCUUACCUGUCGUAUACAUGUCGGGAAUNUGCCAGAGNUUAGAGGGUGCUUUCGGGAUUGGGAACUCAGGUCAGCAAGGUAUGUCGUCAGUUCCUGUCGUGAGAUGUUGGGUUAAGUCCCGUACCGAGGGCAUCCUUUGCCCUUAGUUCCCAGCUGGUUAUGGUGGUCACUCUAAGGACAAUACUGGUCACAACCGGGAGGAAGGUGGGUAUGGCGUCAAUUCAUCAUGCCCCUUACGGCCAGGUCUUCUCACGUCAUACAAUGGUCGGUACAGAGGGUUGCCAAUCCGCGAGGUGGAGCUAAUCCCAUAAAACCGAUCGUAGUCCGGAUCGCAGUCUGCAAUUCCCUUGCGUGAAGUGGGAAUCGUUAGUAAUCGUGAAUCUAGAAUGUCACGGUGAAUACGUUCCCGGCCCUUGUACACCCCGCCCGUCACACCAUGGGAGUG